ACACGACUCUCGGCAACGGAUAUCUAGGCUCUCGCAUCGAUGAAGAACGUAGCAAACUGCGAUACUUGGUGUGAAUUGCAGAAUCCCGUGAACCAUCGAGUCUUUGAACGCAAGUUGCGCCCGAAGCCAUUAGGCGAGGGCACGUCUGCCUGGGCGUCACGCAUCGCGU
rnacentral:rRNA from 1 species